ACGGGCACUGCCUUGCUCGGGUAACAAGACUAGGGAAGGCCUACUACCCGGUCUGAAAGUACACCAUACGCAUGGAUCGCAUGGUAAGACCGGAAACCCCGGUUGUCUUGUGUUCCCUGGUCAUUACAAUCUUGGGAUAAGAUGGCAGGACUGCCCCUACUCCUCUGAGCACAUACCUGGAGAACAUGGUUCGGAGAUGGAGGGCCCUCCGUCUAUA